rnacentral:rRNA from 1 species
UACGAAGGGGGCUGGCGUUGCUCGGAAUUACUGGGCGUAAAGGGCGCGUAGGCGGACAGUUUAGUCAGAGGUGAAAGCCCAGGGCUCAACCUUGGAAUUGCCUUUGAUACUGGCUGUCUUGAGUUCGGGAGAGGUGAGUGGAAUGCCGAGUGUAGAGGUGAAAUUCGUAGAUAUUAGGAAGAACACCGGUGGCGAAGGCGGCCCACUGGAUCGGUACUGACGCUGAGGUGCGAAAGCGUGGGGAGCAAACAGG